rnacentral:lncRNA from 1 species
GGUUUGUAACAGGAUAAGGAAAGUUACAAUGGAAUGGGGAAACAAUGCAUUGUGGGAAUCAGGUUAAGAUAUUAAGGACGUUUCCCCACUUUUAGGGUAGAGCUUGUCAAAGCACAAUCCAUUCAAAAGCAGCCAGCCUGAAUAUAUUGCUUCCUUGUUUAUGGAUGAUGCUCUGUAGUUUUACUGAUUCGUAAUGGAGCUACAGUCUUUUUAUUCUGACAGUUUAAGCACAUAAAAGAAAAAUAAAACUGCUGUGUGAGGACCUCCCUCAUAAAGUGGCAUGUUCAGACUUCCUAUCUACAGCUUCACAUUAAGAGCCACAACAAUUCUGAUGUGUGGAAAAGUAAAACUUCCCCUUGGUAGAACAAAAGAUGAAUCAAGAGGAAGCAAAUUAAACUCAGAAAUACAAGUGUGAUGAGUUAUUUUUAAGCAAAAUGAAAUUUUUAUAAAAUCUGCACAGUAAGGUUACAGAAUGCACAAAUAAGUCUUUUAUCUGCCUAAUGAAAAUCAAAAUAUGAUCACCUAUACAUUGUCGCAUACUUUCCACAAAAAUGCCAUCAGCACACUGAUAAGAAUGUGCAAUCCCUGGAGAGAAUGAGUCUUUUUUCAUUGCAGCCUGGAAGCCCAACUUGUAAUAAGAAACAACACACAUUAAUAGCUUUAUCAAAAAGGGGAAAAUAGCAUUUAGAGAUGCAAAACAUCAUUUUGAGGUUUUCCAGGUACCAUAAUGAUAGUUUUUCUUACCACUGAAUAUUCAUGACACCUCAUAAAACUAAUGAUAAACAUAAAAAUUGAUGUGAACGUUUGACUAAUCUGCUCUUAUUUGUUUGGAAGAGCUGUCGUAAUUGCCUGGUUUGUAAAUUAAACAUCUGCUAUGGGAAUAAACAAAAACAUAACUGAGCAUAUUCAAAUAAAUUGAAUUCACUCUGGUUCCAUAAAUUUUAUUAUAUGGGCUCAUCCAUUUUAUUACACCUGAGUGCAGCAUUGCUGCCAAAGUCAAUGCAUUCUUAGGUGAACUAUUUGUAAGAAUAAAUGCUUUCCUUUUCUAAUAAAAUGCAGAUAUUAUUUAGAUUACUUUGAAAGGAGUGUUUCAAUAACACAGCUCAAUUGAUUGAAGCCUCUAGAUGUAUUGGUUGAACAUGAGCUGGAGUUCCAUGACUGUGCUCCUUGAGGGUUUCAGCAGACCAUUCAAAUAACCUCUAUAUCACAGCAGCACAUGUCAAACAAGAUAACAGUCAUUUUACUUUAGCGAAAUUAAUCUGUCUGAUGGUUAGUGUAGCCAUGCUUGUUAAAUUUCUUUUUUUUUUUUUAAUUUUUUUUUAUUUUCCCACUGUACAGCAAGGGGGUCAGGUUAUCCUUACAUGUAUACAUUGCAGUUACAGUUUUUUCCCCCACCCUUUCUUCUGUUGCGACAUGAGUAUCUAGACAUAAUUCUCAAUGCUAUUCAGCAGGAUCUCCUUGUAAAUCUAUUCUAGGUUGUGUCUGAUAAGCCCAAGCUCCCGAUCCCUCCCACUCCCUCCCCCUCCCAUCAGGCAACCACAAGUCUCUUCUCCAAGUCCAUGAUUUUCUUUUCUGAGGAGAUGUUCAUUUGUGCUGGAUAUCUAAAUUUCUAAGUCAUAAAGAUGAAGCAUAUUGUGGCACAACUAAGCAGAUCAAAGGUCACAAAGUAAGGUGCCAACAAGUGUGCUUGCUAAAAAGUGGGAGUCACACCUUUGAUGUGAUUAUAUAUUUUUUUUCUCCUGCAGCUAAUUCCUUGAUGUUGCAGAGUACUAAAGUAAUUCACGUCAGGAUUUCAGUCUUCUGUAGAGAUAACCAAGGAUGCAGUGUGAUGCCUGAACUGAGUCAGCCAUCUAGAAAAAUAAAGAAGUCUUGUGCUGAUGAUGGAUAAGCAGAGAGAUAAAAAAAAAAUCCUGAAUCUCUGACCAUAUGCUGCUGCACUGGUACCUUGGUUCUUUUAUGUGAUUAAUAUCUUCAUUUUUAAAUUCCUUUGGGAUCUCAACUUUUAUAAAGAGUUUAUUUGGACUUUUAAAAUAAAUAAGAAUAAUCAAUUUAUAUGAGAGAAUUGGACCUGAUAACUUGAUUACACUCAUUCAUCUAUUUAUUUGGUAAGUCCUUAGGAACUAUACUCCGUGUUUGACACUACUAGGUAUUAGCAAGCAUGGGAAAGAAAUACUGACAUACUGCCUAACCCAAGGAUUUUACAUAUGGAAAAGUAGAGAUGGAAAAACAAAAAAUAAACAAGUACCAGAGCAAGGUCAUACACAAUUAAUUACCAAAUAAAUUACUGAGACAUCUAAUCAAGACAAUAAUAUCUAAAAAGGUCAAUGAAGGUUAUGGACUCCCUAGUUUAGAGCCGCCAAAACGAAAUGAUGUUUGAGCUUGACCUUGGGAGACAGAAUGACAAAUACAGGAAGACUAGACUAUUUUGUAGUUUGUCUUUACUUUCCUAAGGGCAAAUAUAUAAACAAUGUUUUGCAACAUACUUUUAUCAUGACUACUCAUUAAGGGUUUAAACACAAGCUUACAUUUUAUAACAAUGUUUAUUUUUAUUUUUAAGAUAGAAAAAGGACAUUUUCAAAAGAGUAUACUGCCCUCACAGCCAAACCCCGCCCCCCCCCCAUCAAACUAUUGUAUUUCUUUUCUAAAGCCGUUUCAUGAAACAUCAGAUGAAAUAUGCUACUGGGGAGAGAAACAGAUUUGUAUGCAUGAGUUCGUACUUUACUGGCUCCUUUUCCAUGGCAAAUGCAACUCAAAUGUUAUAUUAAGGCUAUCAACAUUGUAAGGUAAAUGCAAAAUUAUUCCUUGGCUAUAAUUUUAAUUACUGUAUAUGUUCUACAUAAAGGGAGGAUAAAAAAUGAAUCCAAAAGGAAUUUAAAUAUUGUUAAACUAUAAGUAUACUAGGUAAUAUAAAGGCAUUAGGUUUGAUUGAACUAAUCUACUUGGAAAGAAAUAGAACUAUAUAUUUAGAACAUAGUCACUUUUUGUAAAGACUUAGAACCCUAUAUCUAAAUUUUUUCUCAGCAUAUUGGCUGUCUACUAGCAAAA